AGCCUUCUGAAUCAGUGUUAAGAUUUUGUCAGACACCCGACGAUCAGUACCGAUGAGACUUCCAAGAUAAGUAUAGCG
rnacentral:pre_miRNA from 1 species